AAAUCAACCGAGAUUCCCCCAGUAGCGGCGAGCGAACGGGGAGGAGCCCAGAGCCUGAAUCAGUGUGUGUGUUAGUGGAAGCGUCUGGAAAGGCGCGCGAUACAGGGUGACAGCCCCGUACACAAAAAUGCACAUGCUGUGAGCUCGAUGAGUAGGGCGGGACACGUGGUAUCCUGUCUGAAUAUGGGGGGACCAUCCUCCAAGGCUAAAUACUCCUGACUGACCGAUAGUGAACCAGUACCGUGAGGGAAAGGCGAAAAGAACCCCGGCGAGGGGAGUGAAAAAGAACCUGAAACCGUGUACGUACAAGCAGUGGGAGCACGCUUAGGCGUGUGACUGCGUACCUUUUGUAUAAUGGGUCAGCGACUUAUAUUCUGUAGCAAGGUUAACCGAAUAGGGGAGCCGAAGGGAAACCGAGUCUUAACUGGGCGUUAAGUUGCAGGGUAUAGACCCGAAACCCGGUGAUCUAGCCAUGGGCAGGUUGAAGGUUGGGUAACACUAACUGGAGGACCGAACCGACUAAUGUUGAAAAAUUAGCGGAUGACUUGUGGCUGGGGGUGAAAGGCCAAUCAAACCGGGAGAUAGCUGGUUCUCCCCGAAAGCUAUUUAGGUAGCGCCUCGUGAAUUCAUCUCCGGGGGUAGAGCACUGUUUCGGCAAGGGGGUCAUCCCGACUUACCAACCCGAUGCAAACUGCGAAUACCGGAGAAUGUUAUCACGGGAGACACACGGCGGGUGCUAACGUCCGUCGUGAAGAGGGAAACAACCCAGACCGCCAGCUAAGGUCCCAAAGUCAUGGUUAAGUGGGAAACGAUGUGGGAAGGCCCAGACAGCCAGGAUGUUGGCUUAGAAGCAGCCAUCAUUUAAAGAAAGCGUAAUAGCUCACUGGUCGAGUCGGCCUGCGCGGAAGAUGUAACGGGGCUAAACCAUGCACCGAAGCUGCGGCAGCGACGCUUAUGCGUUGUUGGGUAGGGGAGCGUUCUGUAAGCCUGCGAAGGUGUGCUGUGAGGCAUGCUGGAGGUAUCAGAAGUGCGAAUGCUGACAUAAGUAACGAUAAAGCGGGUGAAAAGCCCGCUCGCCGGAAGACCAAGGGUUCCUGUCCAACGUUAAUCGGGGCAGGGUGAGUCGACCCCUAAGGCGAGGCCGAAAGGCGUAGUCGAUGGGAAACAGGUUAAUAUUCCUGUACUUGGUGUUACUGCGAAGGGGGGACGGAGAAGGCUAUGUUGGCCGGGCGACGGUUGUCCCGGUUUAAGCGUGUAGGCUGGUUUUCCAGGCAAAUCCGGAAAAUCAAGGCUGAGGCGUGAUGACGAGGCACUACGGUGCUGAAGCAACAAAUGCCAUGCUUCCAGGAAAAGCCUCUAAGCAUCAGGUAACAUCAAAUCGUACCCCAAACCGACACAGGUGGUCAGGUAGAGAAUACCAAGGCGCUUGAGAGAACUCGGGUGAAGGAACUAGGCAAAAUGGUGCCGUAACUUCGGGAGAAGGCACGCUGAUAUGUAGGUGAAGCGACUUGCUCGUGGAGCUGAAAUCAGUCGAAGAUACCAGCUGGCUGCAACUGUUUAUUAAAAACACAGCACUGUGCAAACACGAAAGUGGACGUAUACGGUGUGACGCCUGCCCGGUGCCGGAAGGUUAAUUGAUGGGGUCAGCGCAAGCGAAGCUCUUGAUCGAAGCCCCGGUAAACGGCGGCCGUAACUAUAACGGUCCUAAGGUAGCGAAAUUCCUUGUCGGGUAAGUUCCGACCUGCACGAAUGGCGUAAUGAUGGCCAGGCUGUCUCCACCCGAGACUCAGUGAAAUUGAACUCGCUGUGAAGAUGCAGUGUACCCGCGGCAAGACGGAAAGACCCCGUGAACCUUUACUAUAGCUUGACACUGAACAUUGAGCCUUGAUGUGUAGGAUAGGUGGGAGGCUUUGAAGUGUGGACGCCAGUCUGCAUGGAGCCGACCUUGAAAUACCACCCUUUAAUGUUUGAUGUUCUAACGUUGACCCGUAAUCCGGGUUGCGGACAGUGUCUGGUGGGUAGUUUGACUGGGGCGGUCUCCUCCUAAAGAGUAACGGAGGAGCACGAAGGUUGGCUAAUCCUGGUCGGACAUCAGGAGGUUAGUGCAAUGGCAUAAGCCAGCUUGACUGCGAGCGUGACGGCGCGAGCAGGUGCGAAAGCAGGUCAUAGUGAUCCGGUGGUUCUGAAUGGAAGGGCCAUCGCUCAACGGAUAAAAGGUACUCCGGGGAUAACAGGCUGAUACCGCCCAAGAGUUCAUAUCGACGGCGGUGUUUGGCACCUCGAUGUCGGCUCAUCACAUCCUGGGGCUGAAGUAGGUCCCAAGGGUAUGGCUGUUCGCCAUUUAAAGUGGUACGCGAGCUGGGUUUAGAACGUCGUGAGACAGUUCGGUCCCUAUCUGCCGUGGGCGCUGGAGAACUGAGGGGGGCUGCUCCUAGUACGAGAGGACCGGAGUGGACGCAUCACUGGUGUUCGGGUUGUCAUGCCAAUGGCACUGCCCGGUAGCUAAAUGCGGAAGAGAUAAGUGCUGAAAGCAUCUAAGCACGAAACUUGCCCCGAGAUGAGUUCUCCCUGACUCCUUGAGAGUCCUGAAGGAACGUUGAAGACGACGACGUUGAUAGGCCGGGUGUGUAAGCGCAGCGAUGCGUUGAGCUAACCGGUACUAAUGAACCGUGAGGCUUAACCUUACAACGCCGAAG
rnacentral:rRNA from 1 species